UACGAAGGGGGCUAGCGUUGUUCGGAAUUACUGGGCGUAAAGCGUGCGCAGGCGGUUGGGCAAGACCGGUGUGAAAUCCCCGGGCUUAACCUGGGAACUGCACUUGUGACUGCACAGCUGGAGUGCGGCAGAGGGGGAUGGAAUUCCUGGUGUAGCAGUGAAAUGCGUAGAUAUCAGGAGGAAUACCGAUGGCGAAGGCAGGUCUCUGGGCUGACACUGACGCUCAUGCACGAAAGCGUGGGGAGCAAACAGG
rnacentral:rRNA from 1 species